rnacentral:rRNA from 1 species
UACGGAGGGGGUUAGCGUUGUUCGGAAUUACUGGGCGUAAAGCGCGCGUAGGCGGAUCAGAAAGUUGGGGGUGAAAUCCCGGGGCUCAACCCCGGAACUGCCUCCAAAACUCCUGGUCUUGAGUUCGAGAGAGGUGAGUGGAAGUCCGAGUGUAGAGGUGAAAUUCGUAGAUAUUCGGAGGAACACCAGUGGCGAAGGCGGCUCACUGGCUCGAUACUGACGCUGAGGUGCGAAAGUGUGGGGAGCAAACAGG